AUUGAACGCUGGCGGCAGGCCUAACACAUGCAAGUCGAACGGUAACAGGAAACAGCUUGCUGUUUCGCUGACGAGUGGCGGACGGGUGAGUAAUGUCUGGGAAACUGCCUGAUGGAGGGGGAUAACUACUGGAAACGGUAGCUAAUACCGCAUAACGUCGCAAGACCAAAGAGGGGGACCGUCGGGCCUCUGGCCAUCGGAUGUGCCCAGAUGGGAUUAGCUAGUAGGUGGGGUAACGGCUCACCUAGGCGACGAUCCCUAGCUGGUCUGAGAGGAUGACCAGCCACACUGGAACUGAGACACGGUCCAGACUCCUACGGGAGGCAGCAGUGGGGAAUAUUGCACAAUGGGCGCAAGCCUGAUGCAGCCAUGCCGCGUGUAUGAAGAAGGCCUUCGGGUUGUAAAGUACUUUCAGCGGGGAGGAAGGGAGUAAAGUUAAUACCUUUGCUCAUUGACGUUACCCGCAGAAGAAGCACCGGCUAACUCCGUGCCAGCAGCCGCAGUAAGAC
rnacentral:rRNA from 1 species